rnacentral:rRNA from 1 species
GACGUAGGGCGCGAGCGUUGUCCGGAUUUAUUGGGCGUAAAGAGCUCGUAGGCGGCUUGUCGCGUCGACUGUGAAAACUCGGGGCUCAACUCCGAGCUUGCAUUCGAUACGGGCAGGCUAGAGUUCGGUAGGGGAGACUGGAAUUCCUGGUGUAGCGGUGAAAUGCGCAGAUAUCAGGAGGAACACCGGUGGCGAAGGCGGCACGCUGGACCUUUUCUGACGCUGAGGCGCGAAAGCCAGGGGAGCAAACGGG